CUCAGUUCGGAUCGGAGUCUGNAACCCGACUCCGUGAAGCUGGAUUCGCUAGUAAUCGCGCAUCAGCCAUGGCGCGGUGAAUACGUUCCCGGGCCUUGUACACACCGCCCGUCAAGCCAUGGAAGCCGGGGGUGCCUGAAGUGUGCAACCGCAAGGAGCGCCCUAAGGUAAAACCGGUGACUGGGGCUAAGUCGUAACAAGGUAUC
rnacentral:rRNA from 1 species